rnacentral:rRNA from 1 species
AAUUUUGGACAAUGGGCGCAAGCCUGAUCCAGCCAUGCCGCGUGAGUGAAGAAGGCCUNCGGGUUNUNAAGCUCUUUCGGACGAANCGAAAUCGCGCAGGCUAAUACACUGGGCGGAGGACGGUACCGUCAUAAGAAGCACCGGCCAACUACGUGCCAGCAGACGCGGUAGUACGUAGGGUGCGAGCGUUAAUCGGAAUUACUGGGUGUAAAGCGUGCGCAGGCGGUCGAUUAAGACAGGCGUGAAAACCCCGGGCUUAACCUGGGAAAUGCGCUUGUGGCUGGUCAGCUAGAGUACGGCAGAGGGGGGUGGAAUUCCACGUGUAGCAGUGAAAUGCGUAGAGAUGUGGAGGAACACCGAUGGCGAAGGCAGCCCCCUGGGCCGAUACUGACGCUCAUGCACGAAAGCGUGGGUAGCAAACAGG